rnacentral:rRNA from 1 species
AUUGAACGCUGGCGGCAGGCCUAACACAUGCAAGUCGAACGAGUGGCGGACGGGUGAGUAAUGUCUGGGAAACUGCCUGAUGGAGGGGGCUAACUACUGGAAACGGUAGCUAAUACCGCAUACCAUCGGAUGUGCCCAGAUGGGAUUAGCUCGUAGGUGGGGUAAAGGCUCACCUAGGCGACGAUCCCUAGCUGGUCUGAGAGGAUGACCGGCCACACGGGGACUGAGACACGGUCCAGAGUCCUACGGGAGGCGGCAGUGGGGAAUAUGGCCCAAUGGGCGCAAGCCUGAUGCAGCCAUGCCGCGGGUGUGAAGAAGGUCUUCGUGUUGUAAAGUACUUUCAGCGGGGAGGCGUUACCCAGAGAAGAAGCACCGGCUAAAUCCGUGCCAGCAGCCGCGGUAAUUC